GACGAACGCUGGCGGCGUGCCUAAUACAUGCAAGUCGAGCGGUCAUACGAGGAGCCUUCCUUCUUUACGUUAGCGGCGGGCGGGUGAGUGACAUGUGUGCAACACUGCUUCAAGACGGGGAUAACCUAGUGAAACCGGUGGCAAUAACGGAUUAUAGCUUCCUUCGCAUGGAGGAGGGUCUACAGGCGUCUCACGCUGCCGCUUGCCCAUAGGCGCUGGGCGGAUUAGCUAGUUGGUGGGGUAACGGCUCACCAAGGCGACGAUGCUUAGCCGGCCUGAGAGGGUGAUCGGCCACACUGGGACUGAGACACGGCCCAGACUCCUACGGGAGGCAGCAGUAGGGAAUAUUGCGCAAUGGGCGAAAGUCUGACGCAGCAACGCCGCGUGUAUGAAGAAGGCCUUCGGGUCGUAAAGCUCUGUUGGCGGGGAGGAAGGGGGUAAAGUUAAACAGUGCGGUAAUUGAAGGGUACCGGAGAAGAAGGCCCGGCUAACCUCGUG
rnacentral:rRNA from 1 species